rnacentral:rRNA from 1 species
UCAGGAAAAUAGGGUAGCAUGUCAUUGAGACAGGGACAACCCCGGGAACUGGCGCUAAUCCCUGAUAGGUGAGAAAUAUUGGAAUGGAUUCUCGCUCAAAGGGUGCUUAGAUCAUGCUUCUAGACUUCGCCCAAGGAGGCGNCCCCGCCCGAUCAGGUUGUUGGUGAGGUAACGGCUCACCAAGCCAAUAACCGGUACGGGCCGUGAGAGCGGAAGCCCGGAGAUGGGCACUGAGACAAGGGCCCAGGCCCUACGGGGCGCAGCAGUCGCGAAAACUCCGCAAUACACGAAAGUGUGACGGGGCCAUCNCCGAGUGCCAUCCGCUGAGGAUGGCUUUUCCCUAGUAUAUAAAGCUGGGGGAAUAAGGAGAGGGCAAGCCUGGUGUCAGCAGCCGCGGUAA